GGCUCCAUAGUGUAGUGGUUAGCAUGUCUGCUUUACACGCAGAAGGUCUUGGGUUCGCGCCCCAGGUGGAGCCA
rnacentral:tRNA from 1 species